rnacentral:rRNA from 1 species
AAUGGGCGAAAGCCUGAUCCAGCCAUCCCGCGUGGUAGAUGAAGGCCCUCUGGGUUGUAAAUACCUUUUAUAAGGGAAGAAACUCUCCGAUUCAUCGGAGCCUGACGGUACCUUAUGAAUAAGCACCGGCUAACUCCGUGCCAGCAGCCGCGGUAAUACGGAGGGUGCAAGCGUUAUCCGGAUUCACUGGGUUUAAAGGGUGCGUAGGCGGGAAAUUAAGUCAGUGGUGAAAGCCCCAGGCUCAACUUGGGAACUGCCAUUGAUACUGAUUUUCUUGAAUGUGUUUGAGGUAGGCGGAAUGUUGCAUGUAGCGGUGAAAUGCUUAGAUAUGUUACAGAACACCAAUUGUGAAGACAGCUUACUAAAACAUGAUUGACGCUGAGGCACGAAAGCGUGGGGAGCAAA